rnacentral:lncRNA from 13 species
UGCUCUCUCUAAUUCUCUCUUUCUUUCUCUCUCUCGGAGGACCUGAGCCCUAGGACCAUGCCCCAGGAAUACCUGACAUGAUGACUCCUUGCUGUCCCCAGUCCACCUGACUGUGCUGCUGCUCCAGUUUCAACUAUUCUGCCUUAUUAUUAUUCGACCAUGCUGGUCAUUUAUGAACAUUUGAACAUCUUGACCAUGUUUUGUUAUAAUCUCCACCCGGCACAGCCAGAAGAGGACUGGCCACCCCACAUAGCCUGGUUCCUCUCUAGGUUUCUUCCUAGGUUUUGGCCUUUCUAGGGAGUUUUUCCUAGCCACCGUGCUUCUUCACCUGCAUUGCUUGCUGUUUGGGGUUUUAGGCUGGGUUUCUGUACAGCACUUUGAGAUAUCAGCUGAUGUACGAAGGGCUAUAUAAAAUAAAUUUGAUUGAUUGAUUGAUUGUGCCUACAGUAUAUGUAAUUGUUUUUGGCAUCAUAGUUUAUGCUAUAGAUAUUAAAUAUAGAUGAGCAGACAGGGAUCUGACGCCAGACAUAAAUGUUCUUUAAAAAAAAGUUUAAAAGGUUGUACUUUUGUUACGACCAUAUGUUUUAUGAAGAUUUACCCAUUUACUAGCAUAAAAUGAUUCUAAAUCGUACAUCUUCCCAUUUUCGUACAUUUGAGAUUUGCAUGUUUGGUGAUGGCUCACUUGUUGAAAGAAUCAGUCAGAUGUUUUAACCAGAGGGUUUUCCUCAGGCGUAUUUGGAGUUGUUUGACUAUGAGAAAGCCCAGGAUUACCUCACGAUGGCUCAGGCCAACAAACCAUUCGACAUCAAUCUCCUGAGGAAGCUUGCCACAUGCUACAAGGACUAUUUGGACAAAGAGAAAGAGCUGUGCUUCAAGAUGUGUGCAGACUUUGUGAAGUGAUGGUACAUCAAUAUUUGCCUAUGCAAGGAUCCAAACUCCAGACUCUCAUCUUCAAAUGGCAGCGCUCUCUCAAGAUCAAAGGCUUCUGAGUAUAAUUUGGGAAUCAUUGCCUACAUGCUCUGGGCGUUUUACAGAGCUUUAGGACACUCCAGUUCUGCUGAGGUAUCCUCCCUGUAUCACAAGGUGGGAUCUGCCCUGUUUGCCUGCCAGGAGAGAGAGUGAGAGAGGAGCAAUGUCUGAAGCUACAUUUUGGACUCACAUUCUGUUGCAGGUGAUGGUGUAAGGAAAACUUAGUCAACACCGAAGACUCACACAAGCCUUACUACAUUAUGUAAAUAUAUUCACUUUGAUUUCAAGAGUUUUUGUUCAUCAUGUACCAACAUUUACAAAGCUAUUCUGUACACUAAAUCCAACUGCAGUUGGGACACAGUGAAAUGUCUUAAUAAUGGAAAAUGUGUUUGUUCAUCUUGUUACAAUAUUUAAGGGCCAUUGUUGUUGAGAUAUAUUCAAGAGGUAAAGCCUCUCCAAAACAUACCAUUGUCUUGUCUGAAUAAACAUAUUCUCCAGUGAUUCAAGCAAGUUUCAGAUAAAGCAUUCCUGGGGAAACCUGUAUUGAAGGACAUUUCAUGGAAGCCAGUUGGAAUACCAUAACAUGCUGGUUUUACAAGGCAGAGUUGAUAUACUUCUCUUAGUUUGUCAAUGGUAUCAAGAGAUUUAAACAAACUAGCAACGGACAUCGAAAUUGUUAAGGCUUUAAAACAACUAAAAUAAAUGCAGCAGUUAAACUGGACGUAGAUACUCAACUUUUGAUAUUGA